rnacentral:rRNA from 1 species
UCCCUACGGGGGGCAGCAGUAGGGAAUUUUCGUCAAUGGGCGCAAGCCUGAACGAGCAAUGCCGCGUGAACGAGGAAGGUCUUCGGAUCGUAAAGUUCUGUUGAAGGGGAAAAAGAGCGGGGAGAGGAAAUGGUCUCCGAUUGAUAUUACCCUUCGAGGAAGUCACGGCUAACUACGUGCCAGCAGCCGCGGUAAUACGUAGGGGGCGAGCGUUAUCCGGAAUGAUUGGGCGUAAAGGGGGCGUAGGCGGCCUGUUAAGUCGGGAGGGAAAGGUCCCGACUCACCCGGUACAGGCUCUG